rnacentral:rRNA from 1 species
UAGGGAAUAUUGGACAAUGGGGGCAACCCUGAUCCAGCCAUGCCGCGUGAGUGAAGAAGGCCCUCGGGUUGUAAAGCUCUUUUGUCCGGAAAGAAAAGCAUUCGGUGAAUACCCGGAUGUUCUGACGGUACCGGAAGAAUAAGCACCGGCUAACUUCGUGCCAGCAGCCGCGGUAAUACGAAGGGUGCAAGCGUUACUCGGAAUUACUGGGCGUAAAGCGUGCGUAGGUGGUUGUUUAAGUCUGAUGUGAAAGCCCUGGGCUCAACCUGGGAAUGGCAUUGGAAACUGGGCAGCUAGAGUGCGGUAGAGGGUAGUGGAAUUCCCGGUGUAGCAGUGAAAUGCGUAGAGAUCGGGAGGAACAUCUGUGGCGAAGGCGACUGCCUGGACCAGCACUGACAAUGAGGCACGAAAGCGUGGGGAGCAAACA